CCCUUAGAUGUUCUGGGCCGCACGCGUGCUACACUGAGUGGAUCAGCGGGUCAGGUUGCGCGAAAGCGUUUCCUAAUCUUUAAAUCCGCUCGUGAUGGGGAUUGACGGUUGCAAUUUUCUGUCAUGAACGAGGAAUACCUUGUAAGAGCGGGUCAUCAUCCCGCGCUGAAUACGUCCCUGCCCUUUGUACACACCGCCCGUCGCUCCUACCGAUUGAGUGGUCCGGUGAGGCUUUGGGAUCUGAGCGGAAAGAGCGUUUCGCUGUUUCUGCUCGGAAAACUCAGUCGAACCUUAUCAUUUAGAGGAAGGAGAAGUCGUAACA
rnacentral:rRNA from 1 species